rnacentral:rRNA from 1 species
ACGAACGCUGGCGGCGUGCUUAACACAUGCAAGUCGAACGCUGAAGCUCAGCUUUUGUUGGGUGGAUGAGUGGCGAACGGGUGAGUAACACGUGAGUAACCUGCCCCCUUCUUUGGGAUAACGCCCGGAAACGGGUGCUAAUACUGGAUAUUCACUGGUCUUCGCAUGGGGGUUGGUGGAAAGGGUUUUUCUGGUGGGGGAUGGGCUCGCGGCCUAUCAGCUUGUUGGUGGGGUGAUGGCCUACCAAGGCUUUGACGGGUAGCCGGCCUGAGAGGGUGACCGGUCACAUUGGGACUGAGAUACGGCCCAGACUCCUACGGGAGGCAGCAGUGGGGAAUAAUGCACAAUGGGCGCAAGCCUGAUGCAGCGACGCCGCGUGAGGGAUGGAGGCCUUCGGGUUGUGAACCUCUUUCGCUCAUGGUCAAGCCGCAACAAUGGUUGUGGUGAGGGUAGUGGGUAAAGAAGCGCCGGCUAACUACGUG